rnacentral:rRNA from 1 species
UUAGAGUUUGAUCCUGGCUCAGAUUGAACGCUGGCGGCAGGCUUAACACAUGCAAGUCGAGCGGAGAGAGGUAGCUUGCUACUGAUCUUAGCGGCGGACGGGUGAGUAAUGCUUAGGAAUCUGCCUAUUAGUGGGGGACAACAUUUCGAAAGGAAUGCUAAUACCGCAUACGUCCUACGGGAGAAAGCAGGGGAUCUUCGGACCUUGCGCUAAUAGAUGAGCCUAAGUCGGAUUAGCUAGUUGGUGGGGUAAAGGCCUACCAAGGCGACGAUCUGUAGCGGGUCUGAGAGGAUGAUCCGCCACACUGGGACUGAGACACGGCCCAGACUCCUACGGGAGGCAGCAGUGGGGAAUAUUGGACAAUGGGCGCAAGCCUGAUCCAGCCAUGCCGCGUGUGUGAAGAAGGCCUUAUGGUUGUAAAGCACUUUAAGCGAGGAGGAGGCUACUUUAGUUAAUACCUAGAGAUAGUGGACGUUACUCGCAGAAUAAGCACCGGCUAACUCUGUGCCAGCAGCCGCGGUAAUACAGAGGGUGCAAGCGUUAAUCGGAUUUACUGGGCGUAAAGCGCGCGUAGGCGGCUAAUUAAGUCAAAUGUGAAAUCCCCGAGCUUAACUUGGGAAUUGCAUUCGAUACUGGUUAGCUAGAGUGUGGGAGAGGAUGGUAGAAUUCCAGGUGUAGCGGUGAAAUGCGUAGAGAUCUGGAGGAAUACCGAUGGCGAAGGCAGCCAUCUGGCCUAACACUGACGCUGAGGUGCGAAAGCAUGGGGAGCAAACAGGAUUAGAUACCCUGGUAGUCCAUGCCGUAAACGAUGUCUACUAGCCGUUGGGGCCUUUGAGGCUUUAGUGGGCGCAGCUAACGCGAUAAGUAGACCGCCUGGGGAGUACGGUCGCAAGACUAAAACUCAAAUGAAUUGACGGGGGCCCGCACAAGCGGUGGAGCAUGUGGUUUAAUUCGAUGCAACGCGAAGAACCUUACCUGGCCUUGACAUAGUAAGAACUUUCCAGAGAUGGAUUGGUGCCUUCGGGAACUUACAUACAGGUGCUGCAUGGCUGUCGUCAGCUCGUGUCGUGAGAUGUUGGGUUAAGUCCCGCAACGAGCGCAACCCUUUUCCUUAUUUGCCAGCGAGUAAUGUCGGGAACUUUAAGGAUACUGCCAGUGACAAACUGGAGGAAGGCGGGGACGACGUCAAGUCAUCAUGGCCCUUACGGCCAGGGCUACACACGUGCUACAAUGGUCGGUACAAAGGGUUGCUACCUAGCGAUAGGAUGCUAAUCUCAAAAAGCCGAUCGUAGUCCGGAUUGGAGUCUGCAACUCGACUCCAUGAAGUCGGAAUCGCUAGUAAUCGCGGAUCAGAAUGCCGCGGUGAAUACGUUCCCGGGCCUUGUACACACCGCCCGUCACACCAUGGGGAGUUUGUUGCACCAGAAGUAGCGAGCCUAACUGCAAAGAGGGCGGCUACACGGUGUGACCAAUGACUGGGGUGAAGUCAGACAGGGAACCGCGAGAUGCUCCCCAGGAUUAAGACCAGACCGGAGGGGUGAGCGGAAGGCAUCCGU